GUUUCUGACAGGAGAUGUGACUGCUCCUCCUCUCAUACAGGCGCCUCGGACACAUCGGGGAGUACACAGGGCCUUGACAAAUUAAGUUCCGGAAUCUUCUGGAGAUCCAGCGGAAUGUGAAACUGGAAACACCCAAAUGCAGUCAGUGCAUUGGAAGUUGAAGAUAAAAGAAUUGCAAUGUCACAUGCAGGAGUCGGCUUUGCACCUAAGGGCAAGUUAAUUGCAUUAAUUUUUCCUGACGACUUCACGAAAGCAACACUGUCCGUGGUGUGUAGAACAUCUCACCAUUUUUCAACCAUGAUGAAAUUAGUGCAAAUUGUUCUUUCUGGCUAUAAUCAAUCAGUACUUUUAUCCAGUGCCACAGAAUACUGAUGAAAACAUUUUUUUUUCUCACUUGAAGGCAAACACCUCCUGAUUGUGUGUUGAACUGCUCUGUAAAUAUAUCUCACAAGGGCUCCUCUGUGCAUUAGGAAGACUUCAGGAGAAUAAACAUCUGUUUUUUCUGA